rnacentral:tRNA from 1 species
GGCCUGGUAGCCAAGUGGUAAGGCAGAGGUCUGCAAAACCUCUAUACGUGGGUUCGAUUCCCACCCAGGCCU